UACCAGCUCUCCGAGUGGUAGGGAUGAUUAUUGGGCUUAAAGCGUCCGUAGCCGGCUUAGCAAGUCUCCUGUUAAAUUCAGCGACCUAAUCGUUGAGCCGCGGGAGAUACUACUAGGCUAGGAGGCGGGAGAGGUCAACGGUACUUCCGGGGUAGGGGUGAAAUCCUAUAAUCCCGGGAGGACCACCAGUGGCGAAGGCUGUUGACUAGAACGCGCUCGACGGUGAGGGACGAAGGCUGGGGGAGCGAACCGGAUUAGAUACCCCGGUAGUCCCAGCUGUAAACGAUGCGAGCUAGGUGUUGGGGUGGCUACGUGCCACUUCAGUGCCGCAGGGUAGCCAUUAAGCUCGCCGCCUGGGGAGUACGGCCGCAAGGCUGAAACUUAAAGGAAUUGGCGGGGGAGCACCACAAGGCGUGAAGCUCGCGGUUC
rnacentral:rRNA from 1 species